UACGGGGGGAGCAAGCGUUGUUCGGAUUUACUGGGCGUAAAGGGCGCGUAGGCGGCCACUGCAAGUCGGUUGUGAAAUCUCCGGGCUUAACCCGGAAAGGUCAAUCGAUACUGCAGGGCUAGAGUGCAGAAGGGGCAACUGGAAUUCUCGGUGUAGCGGUGAAAUGCGUAGAUAUCGAGAGGAACACCUGCGGCGAAGGCGGGUUGCUGGGCUGACACUGACGCUGAGGCGCGAAAGCUAGGGGAGCGAACGGG
rnacentral:rRNA from 1 species